rnacentral:lncRNA from 1 species
UGGCAAGAUGACCCGUUUUUUAUUUUUCACAAUUUUUGAAACUUUUUACGGUUCGAGAUUUUUUAAAAUUUUUUUAGAAGGAAUUUUGUCCCCAACUUUGGUAGAGGUGAUCCUUUUAUUUUUGUUGGCAUGCAUAAAAAAAUUCAGCUAAAAACUCAAACCUUAGGGUCAAAAAUCGUGUGGCCUUAGGCUCGAAAUCUCCUUCUUUAUGCCUAAGUCAACCUAAAACACAAGCGUGCAG